CCCUUAGAUGUUCUGGGCCGCACACGCGCUACACUGAUGCAUUCAACGAGUCUAAAACCUGCUCUGAUAGGGGUGGGUAAUCUUUUGAAUGUGCAUCGUGAUUGGGAUAGAUGAUUGCAAUUUUUCAUCUUCAACGAGGAAUGCCUAGUAAACGCAAGUCAUCAGCUUGCAUUGAUUACGUCCCUGCCCUUUGUACACACCGCCCGUCGCUCCUACCGAUUGGGUGUGCUGGUGAAAUGUUCGGAUCGGCCGUUUGUCGCGGUUUCCGCGUCAUGUGGCUGAGAAGUUCAUUAAACCCUCCCACCUAGAGGAAGGAGAAGUCGUAACA
rnacentral:rRNA from 1 species